UAGGGAAUCUUCCACAAUGGACGCAAGUCUGAUGGAGCAACGCCGCGUGAGUGAAGAAGGUCUUCGGAUCGUAAAACUCUGUUGUUAGAGAAGAACACGAGUGAGAGUAACUGUUCAUUCGAUGAGGUAUCUAACCAGCAAGUCACGGCUAACUACGUGCCAG
rnacentral:rRNA from 1 species